rnacentral:rRNA from 1 species
UACGUAGGGGGCAAGCGUUGUCCGGAUUUAUUGGGCGUAAAGAGCGUGUAGGCGGUUUGGUAGGUCCGUUGUGAAAACUCGAGGCUCAACCUCGAGACGCCGAUGGAAACCAUCAGACUAGAGUCCGGAAGAGGAGAGUGGAAUUCCGUGGUGUAGCGGUGAAAUGCGCAGAUAUCAGGAAGAACACCCGUGGCUAAGGGCGGCUCCUCUAGUACGGUACUGACGCUGUAGCGCGAAAAGCGUGGGGGAGCGAACCGG